UAGGGAAUAUUGGACAAUGGGUGAGAGCCUGAUCCAGCCAUGCCGCGUGCAGGAAGAAGGCGUUAUGCGUUGUAAACUGCUUUUGCCAGGGGAUAAAAAGACCGUGCGCGGUUAAUUGAAGGUACCUGGUGAAUAAGCCACGGCUAACUACGUGCCAGCAGCCGCGGUAAUACGUAGGUGGCAAGCGUUGUCCGGAUUUAUUGGGUUUAAAGGGUGCGUAGGUGGCCCUGUAAGUCAGUGGUGAAAUAUCUCAGCUUAACUGAGAGGGUGCCAUUGAUACUGCAAGGCUUGAGUACAGAUGAGGUAGGCGGAAUUGACGGUGUAGCGGUGAAAUGCAUAGAUAUCGUCAAGAACACCGAUAGCGAAGGCAGCUUACCAAGCUGUAACUGACACUGAGGCACGAAAGUGUGGGGAUCAAACAGGAUUAGAUACCCUAGUAGUCCCUGAGCGGGCUGGCAAGGCGCAU
rnacentral:rRNA from 1 species